CCUACGGGAGGCAGCAGUGAGGAAUAUUGGUCAAUGGACGAAAGUCUGAACCAGCCAUGCCGCGUGCAGGAAGACGGCUCUAUGAGUUGUAAACUGCUUUUGUACGAGGGUAAACGCAGAUACGCGUAUCUGUCUGCAAGUAUCGUACGAAUAAGGAUCGGCUAACUCCGUGCCAGCAGCCGCGGUAAUACGGAGGAUCCAAGCGUUAUCCGGAUUUAUUGGGUUUAAAGGGAGCGUAGACGGUGUGGUAAGUUAGAGGUGAAAUCCUGAGGCUCAACUUCGGAAUUGCAUUUGAUACUGUUCGGCUAGAGUGUAGUUGAGGUAGGCGGAAUGUAUGGUGUAGCGGUGAAAUGCUUAGAUAUCAUGAAGAACACCGAUUGCGAAGGCAGCUUACUAAAC
rnacentral:rRNA from 1 species